GGCCCUGUAGGUACAUCCACAGCCAACCUCACAAAAGCCUGCUGUAACUAGAAGGAGCUUGCUCACAGAAGAAGCAGAAAUCCUGGGUCCUAUGGAAAUCUACAUUUCACUUUUUGAGGAACAGUGAAAUUGUAUGGUGGCUGCACAAUUUUACAUUUCUAACAGUGAGACAAAGACAAGGGGCUGUUCCCUGUAUCAUGCACCUUUGGCUCCUCCUGGUCCUUGUUCAGACUUCUGUGUUCC